ensembl:lncRNA novel transcript
UGUGUCUGGAAUCUAUUCCUUCUGGUGGAUUCGUAGUCUUGCUGACUUCAGGAGUGAAGCCGCAUACCCUCGCAAUUCCCUAAAUAGCCUCACAAGAUGAUCAUUCCUUUCCAUAACCUCUAAGAGAAGAUCUAAGAAGGAGCUAUGAAAUCAAAGACCAAAGAUCUGACUCUUCUGUGAGUCACUCUGCCCUCUACAGUGACUGUUCAUUACUUAAUUUUACAGCCUAGUGUUGGGGUCUGCCUUCAAAUGUUCUGUGUCGUGUCCAACACACUUUGUCAUUUUCUUUCUAAUCCUUGUGAUUAUUAUUGUUGUUAUUGUUAGCUUCCUAUGUAAAACUAGUUCUCAG